rnacentral:rRNA from 1 species
UGAGGGACGAAGGCCUUCGGGUUGUAAACCUCUUUUAGUAGGGAAGAAGCGACUGGGUUUUCCUGGGAGUGACGGUACCUGCAGAAAAAGCACCGGCUAACUACGUGCCAGCAGCCGCGGUAAUACGUAGAGUGCAAGCGUUGUCCGGAAUUAUUGGGCGUAAAGAGCUCGUAGGCGGUUUGUCGCGUCUGCUGUGAAAACCCGAGGCUCAACCUCGGGCCUGCAGUGGGUACGGGCAGACUAGAGUGCGGUAGGGGAGAUUGGAAUUCCUGGUGUAGCGGUGGAAUGCGCAGAUAUCAGGAGGAACACCAAUGGCGAAGGCAGAUCUCUGGGCCGUAACUGACGCUGAGGAGCGAAAGCAUGGGGAGCGAACAGGAUUAGAUACCCUGGUAGUCCAUGCCGUAAACGUUGGGAACUAGAUGUGGGGACCAUUCCACGGUCUCCGUGUCGCAGCUAACGCAUUAAGUUCCCCGCCUGGGGAGUACGGCCGCAAGGCUAAAACUCAAAGGAAUUGACGGGGGCCCGCACAAGCGGCGGAGCAUGCGGAUUAAUUCGAUGCAACGCGAAGAACCUUACCAAGGCUUGACAUAUACCGGAAACGGCUGGAAACAGUCGCCCCGCAAGGUCGGUAUACAGGUGGUGCAUGGUUGUCGUCAGCUCGUGUCGUGAGAUGUUGGGUUAAGUCCCGCAACGAGCGCAACCCUCGUCCUAUGUUGCCAGCACGUAAUGGUGGGAACUCAUGGGAUACUGCCGGGGUCAACUCGGAGGAAGGUGGGGAUGACGUCAAAUCAUCAUGCCCCUUAUGUCUUGGGCUUCACGCAUGCUACAAUGGCCGGUACAAAGGGCUGCGAUACCGCAAGGUGGAGCGAAUCCCAAAAAGCCGGUCUCAGUUCGGAUUGAGGUCUGCAACUCGACCUCAUGAAGUCGGAGUCGCUAGUAAUCGCAGAUCAGCAACGCUGCGGUGAAUACGUUCCCGGGCCUUGUACACACCGCC